rnacentral:rRNA from 1 species
UACGGAGGGUGCAAGCGUUAAUCGGAAUUACUGGGCGUAAAGCGCACGCAGGCGGUUUGUUAAGUCGGGUGUGAAAUCCCUGAGCUUAACUUAGGAAUUGCAUUCGAUACUGGAAAGCUAGAGUAUGGGAGAGGAUGGUAGAAUUCCAGGUGUAGCGGUGAAAUGCGUAGAGAUCUGGAGGAAUACCGAUGGCGAAGGCAGCCAUCUGGCCUAAUACUGACGCUCAGGUGCGAAAGCGUGGGGAGCAAACAGG